GUGGGGAAUAUUGGACAAUGGGCGCAAGCCUGAUCCAGCCAUGCCGCGUGAGUGAUGAAGGCCUUAGGGUUGUAAAGCUCUUUCAGUGGGGACGAUAAUGACGGUACCCACAGAAGAAGCCCCGGCUAACUUCGUGCCAGCAGCCGCGGUAAUACGAAGGGGGCUAGCGUUGUUCGGAUUUACUGGGCGUAAAGCGCUCGUAGGCGGAUCGUUAAGUCGGGGGUGAAAUCCUGGAGCUCAACUCCAGAACUGCCUUCGAUACUGGCGAUCUUGAGUCCGGAAGAUGUGAGUGGAACUCCUAGUGUAGAGGUGGAAUUCGUAGAUAUUAGGAAGAACACCAGUGGCGAAGGCGGCUCACUGGUCCGGUACUGACGCUGAGGUGCGAAAGCGUGGGGAGCAAACAGGAUUAGAAACCCUGGUAGUCC
rnacentral:rRNA from 1 species